rnacentral:rRNA from 1 species
CAGCCGUAAACAAUGUGCGUUAGGUAUGUCGGUAACCACGUGUUACUGAUGUGCCGAAGAGAAAUCGUGAAACGCACCACCUGGGAAGUACGGUCGCAAGGCUGAAACUUAAAGGAAUUGGCGGGGGAGGCACCACAAGAGGUGGAGGCUGCGGUUCAAUUGGACUCAACGCCGGAAACUACAUCGGGAGGCGACAGCAGUAUGAUUGCCAGGUUGAUGACCUUGCUUGACAAGCUGAGAGGAGGUGCAUGGC